rnacentral:misc_RNA from 1 species
GUGUACCCAGACGAUGACAACAAACAUGAAGUUGGUGAAGGUCUCGAUAAGAAAGCUGAGAUCACUUUGAACUGUGUUUGGCCAAGAGAUAAAUCUGUUUGAACUCUGGUUAAGAGUCCUGAGAAGUUGAAGGCAAUGAGAUGACAAGACAAGAUAAGAAGAGAUUUUUCUUAAAGUCAGUGCCAUGUUUAUUGACUACAGACCUGAGGUGAAACAUUUCUCAAGGUGUGGUCUAGUUGAUGACUCGGAUGAGGAAGAUAUACCGGACACCAGAACAGGACAAGACAAGAAACGUUUGCAUCUGGCACAGCAGCAACAGAUGGCGGACAGACAGUUCAAUGUUUGCAAAGAAACAAGGGCCGCCGACUGGAUCACCAUUACUGAGACGACUGGAUCACCAUUACUGAGACAGGGAGACGGGCCCAGUCUGUUCAGUUCUAGUCUGAAAUCUAAAUACAUGUCACCUGUCAAAAUUGCUAAUAUACCACAGAAAGAGACAACAAAAGACAGAGGCCUAUUCUCACCUUGUCAAAUCAGACCAGAGCCAAUCAGAGCCACAAAAUCCCUUUAGACCUUCCAUCCUCCAGUGAAGGAAUAUAUGUUGCUGGAGAAUGGCAUGACUCAACAAGAAUACCAGCUAAGGGUCUCGGGCUUAAGGGUACAAAAGGUCAUCCCCAUGGUAACUGAGAGUUUUAUGUACAACAAGCAGACACUAUUGGUUGAUGCAGGAUUGUUUAUGGGAAGAUCCGUGUGGGCUGAGGACCAGUUUGGCUCAUUGUGGAGAUAUUGUACAACCAAACGAUAUAGAGGUGGAGAAGCCUACAAACACAUUCAGUUUGUUCACUGGAGGUCAGAAAUGCAGUACAAAACAUGCAGAAACUAGCUGGAAUGUGCACCUACAGAAAAUCAACAUUGCCGACCAUAUACAGUCUGCAGAUAAAACUAUCAUACAAAAUCAUCGUGAGAUGUUAGAGAUCCAGUUGGUGCAUUCGAGAAGCACAAUGAAAGGGAACUGCCCUGUAUUUACACCAUCAGUGGGUGUGGAGGCACUGCAUCAGUACAGAUGAACUCGAAAUGCACGUAUUAGGUUCCCACCCAGACGAAGCAAGUGUCAAACAUAUGGGUAUGGUAUGGGAUUUUUGUGUUGCUCUGUGGGGAAAUAUGCCAGAGUUUAAAGAUAUGGCUUGAUGAAUUGAUGGCUCCACAAGGGUUCAUGACUGCACCAGUUGGUUGUUGGGGAAAUGGACUAAAGAGUGAUUCAACUACUCUUAAAUCUUUUAUCACAAUGAGCUACAAUGCAGAAAGCAUGAUACAAGUUCAGACUUCAUUAAAGGCUCAAGAGAGGAGAGAGAACAAUCCUCGGGCUUUCCGUUGUGACAUUUGCGGCCAUCUUGUAGCAACCCUUCUUGAACUCACCGAGCACAUGCGCAGUCAUGAAGACAAUCGAAGUCCGGCCUGACCACAAUGUGGUGCAAUGUAUGAGCACAGCUCAUCCCUGAAUCGGCAUAUUAGGCAACGUUGCAGGAAUGUGUGUUUAAUUUAAUCCGGUGAAUACUUAGAAAAAUCGAUGUAGACAUGUUCUCGUCAAAAUAUCCGGUUUUCUUAUAGUUUUAUAUGAAAUGCGGGGGUUAAGUGUUGCGAUGACGAUCAAUGUACAAUUCAGCGUGUGUCUUUGCUCAAACAAUUAAAAAUAUGUAAUAUGUGUUUUAUUGAUAUUAUACAAUACUGUUUAUCUUGAUUUUUAGUAAAGCAUUUCUAGUCAUUUAGUCAAAUAGCAUUUUUGUCAUUAACACUCGUGCCUGUCUGAUAUAUUUUGUUCUGAAGCGGCUUUCAUAGUUCGAUCAUUCUCAUAUCUGCAAAACCAUUCUUAGUUCGACUUUUCGAAGGAAAAGUGGAGCUAUUGCACAAAUAUCUCUAUUACUAUCAAGAAACUUACUAUCAAAGUCUACACCAGGAGAAACAAUUCCCAUAACUCUGUUUGAAUUUUGACAAUUAGAACUUAGAAUGUUUUGGUUAAAAUAUUUGAUAAAGUCAAAUAUCUCUGUUACUACCAAAGUUUCUGACUUGUAACUUAAAUUAUUGACUAUUAAAGUCUACACCAGUAGAAACAGUCACCAUAACUCUGAUUUGACAAAGUUAUUCCCCUUUUUAACCUUCUUUGGUUAA